UGUUCUUGCGAACUCGUUUUACGUCAUCUUUCAUUACCCAAGUACGUUCCAAUCCAAAGAACACAAGACACAAGUCACCAGAGCCCGUUUACUAAUAAUAAUGUCUUAUUAGACAUUCUCUGAACUCAUCAAGAACACCAAAAAUACCCGGAAGUGUUCUUGAUCCGCAACUUUUAUCGAGGAUGCAUCGGAUGGUGACUUAGCGAGAACGCAUGAUUUCCCAGAAGUCAUUGCAAUAACACGCGUCUCAAAUCUUUCUCCGUCCUCGCGUUCUUGCUAGACCGUUCUCGCAAGACGCCUAGCAAGAACGUUCUUCUCAAGAACGCAAGUACGUUAGCAUUGAUAAACAGCCCAACUUGGCCAGCGAGAACGCAACUGAUUUCACAGAAGUCAUUGCAAGAUGUCAGGAGAGGCGGACAAACAUAACUGGUCUGCUGAGGAGAUUACAGCCCUCAUUGAGUGGAGGGGGGCGAAUGAGUCUCUCUUCACUGGGAAGAGAAACUCAUCAAAAUCGGGAUGGGAAGCCUUUGUGAAUCAGGCAGAGUUUCAAAUUACAGACAAACAAGCUAAGAAAAAAUGGAACAACUUGAAAGAAAAAUACAAGGAGCUGAGGGACCCACCCUCAGGGAAAGGGGCGGAGGCAGGGGGGGUCACAGGGGGGGUCACUGCUGCCACCUGGCAGUGGUUUGCCUCAAUGGAUGUAGCACUCCGGGAACAGCAUUCUAUUAAUCCACCUCUGGUAGUUGCUGCAAACAUGACAUCCGCUGCAGGUGGUGAUGUGGCCUCCUCUGCCCCUGCCAGGAAGAGAGCUAAGCCAGUGCCAAGGAAGAGGGCAUGUGAACUCCUGGAUUUCUUGAGAAUGCAGGCGGAGAAAGAAGAGGAGAGAGAGAGCCAGGCUCUUCAAAGGGAAGAGGAGAGGGAGAGGGCAGCAGCUGCCAGAAGCGAAAAAUUCCUCUCACUUUUUGAAAAAUUGGUUGACAAAAUAUAAUAAAUAAAAACUUCUGAUUAGUAAGGUUUAUGAUUAUUACACAAGACAGUUAAUAACCUCCUACAUUCAGCACUGACAGAACAUGUGUAUUGCUGAGAAGGGAACACCACAGCAAUGCCAAGGGUCUCAAAAUGGAUUUGGCAUAAAAAAUUACUUCAUUCAAUAGUGUAAAUAAGAUAAUACACUAAUUUACAAACAUUUAUUGUAAAGAAGCAAUAAUUAAAUAGGCUAUAUAUGAAAGCAAACCAAAUAAUAGAAAAUAUGACACAUUCAAAGUUUACCCCUCGCCCUACUUGGCACAGUCUUGUGUUUUUAUCCCCUGAAUGUAAUCAUGCUCCUGCAGAGAUGCAUGUAGUUCUGUAGGAGCAGAAAGAUGUGCAGCCAGUCUAGCCCGGAGGUUGUUGCCAGACACCUCCUGUUCCUCUGCGCAGUCCUCUGGAUUGUCACCCUCUUCCUCAUGCUGAGGAUGGUCCACCUCAAAGAUGUCGUCCACAGAGACACAAAGGUUGUGGAGAACGCAGCAGGCAGCAACCACCUUGGGGACAAACAGAGGACGCACUUCCAGAGCACUCAGAAAGAUGGAUCUCCAGCGAGUUUUCAGCAUGCCAAAAGUGCGCUCAAUUACGCACCUUGCUUUGGCAUGGUGGCUGUUGAACCGGGCCUCAACAUGUCCUGGUGGUACACAUAAUGGUGUAGAAAUGUUAUACGGUUACAUUAUUUGGUAGUGUUGUUUUUUACUGUGUUAUUUAUGUGUUUGUGCAGGUGUUGGCAACUUUGGAUUUAGGUGCAGUAAAUAUCCCUACCAGCUAUAGGCUGUCGAAACGGGGUGACGACAGCCACAGGAUUCUGCAGGCAUGGAUAUCCACCAUCUCCAAGGAGGAAAUAACCAGCCGGGGGAUAAAGGGACUCCUUGAACAUUGGGGAUCUCCGCAGGACAAGGGCAUCGUGGACAGAACUUGUGUUGCCAAUCAGGUGGACCGAUUCUGAUGUGGCACCCAUCAAUGGCUCCUGCAGCGAAGCGGAAGGCUUCAUGGCCGGCCAGGUGAGCAAAUCCUGCCCCCACCCCCUCCAUCUCAUCGGCCUUGGGGAAAUUGAUGAUGCGGUGAAGGAUUGUCAUCAUUUCCUCUACCACGUGGUGUACAGCUCUGCACACUGUAGCCACUGGCAUAGAAAAGGCAUUGGAUGUCACACGGACCUGGACCAGCAGUUGGAUGGUGGCCCUGGCGAGCCUGAAGGCUGGUUUGGUGUCUUCAUCCGAGAAGACUAUCUUGAUGAUGGACACUUGGUAAUUUACUUGAGCAUAGUUCUGUGGAGUUCCAUCCUAUUUAAAAAUAAAAUGAGAGAUAAAAGUUCACAAUUUUGUUCAAUAAAAGGUUUUA